rnacentral:tRNA from 1 species
GGACCAGUAGCUCAGUGGUUAGAGCAAUUGCCUCUUAAGCAAUGGGUCGUGGGUUCGAACCCCACCUGGUCCU